rnacentral:rRNA from 1 species
UAGAGUUUGAUCCUGGCUCAGAGCGAACGCUGGCGGCAGGCCUAACACAUGCAAGUCGAGCGGCCGUAGCAAUACGGCAGCGGCAGACGGGAGAGUAACACGUGGGAACGCGCCCUUCGGUUCGGAAUAACUCAGGGAAACUUGGGCUAAUACCGGAUACGCCCUUACGGGGAAAGAUUUAUUGCCGAAGGAACGGCCCGCGUCCGAUCAGCUUGUAGGUGAGGUAACGGCUCACCAAGGCGACGAUCGGUAGCUGGUCUGAGAGGAUGACCAGCCUCACUGGGACUGAGACACGGCCCAGACUCCUACGGGAGGCAGCAGUGGGGAAUAUUGGACAAUGGGCGCAAGCCUGAUCCAGCCAUGCCGCGUGGGUGAUGAAGGCCCUAGGGUUGUAAAGCCCUUUCAGCGGGGAAGAUAAUGACGGUACCCGCAGAAGAAGCCCCGGCUAACUUCGUGCCAGCAGCCGCGGUAAUACGAAGGGGGCUAGCGUUGCUCGGAAUUACUGGGCGUAAAGCGCACGUAGGCGGAUUGUUAAGUCGGGGGUGAAAUCCUGGAGCUCAACUCCAGAACUGCCUUCGAUACUGGCGAUCUCGAGUUCGGGAGAGGUGAGUGGAACUGCGAGUGUAGAGGUGAAAUUCGUAGAUAUUCGCAAGAACACCAGUGGCGAAGGCGGCUCACUGGCCCGAUACUGACGCUGAGUGCGAAAGCGUGGGAGCAACAGGAUUAGAUACCCUGGUAGUCACGCUGUAACGAUGGAUGCUAGCCGUUGGCGAGCUUGCUCGUCAGUGGCGCAGCUAACGCUUUAAGCAUC